rnacentral:lncRNA from 1 species
GAGUAGACAACAGUUUAACCACUUUCUCUCCCUCUCCCUGCAGGGCAGAAAUUCCUACAUUUGUCCCCUCUGCUGUGUUUUGUGACCUGGUGCUUCCCUAAACCUAGUGUAAGUCAUCCCUUCUGCCCUUUGUUUAUAGGGAAGCAUGUUUGAGAAGCUAAACAAUCAAUGCCCUGCUCAUCAAAUGUAGGAGUGUUUGGCAUUCGUAACAGGAAUGGACUAUAAAAUAAAUGCCUCUGGCUGCUGUUUGCAUUCUGGCUUGCCAUGCUCUGGCCCUAUCAGGCCUGCAAUAUGGGAAAAUGGGGCCUCUCCUGAAGUUCUCAGUGUUAUGGUCAGAGCGUUCAGACAUGUGCAGACAUGCUGGUCCUGGGCUGUGCUCAUACUUCACAUGGAGUUUUCUUCUUGAAGGAAUGCUGCAGCAGGAAGAUAGAAAGCAAACUUGCAAAAAAUGUAGAGGUAACUAUAGAAACAUUUAUGAAACUACAUAGCCUGUCGGCAUUACCAAAACAUCUGUAAACCUCAUUUCAAGUCAAGCAUAACAGGCAAUUAGGGACUGACCAAGGAAAUAUUUAAGAUAUGCCGUUAUACAGCAAAGCACUUAAGAAUCUGAUUAUCUAGCCUUACCUUUUACCUAAGCAUUUAUUUAAAAACUGUGCUAAGCCUGGUACUGAGCAGAAAAGUUCAUCUGAAUUUAAGGCACUUUAGUGAGAAGAUCGAGAUGAUCUUUCAACUGAUUAACCAGAGUUAAGGGCUUCUUCUCAGCAGUACUGAGGACAUGCUGCUAAACCUGAAUUCAGCAAGAACCAUGCUUGCUGCCUCUGGAAAAUCAUGCCUUUUUCCUUGGGAUCUCAAGUGGUGUUUCUGUGCCUGAUAUUAAGCAUCUGCAUAGGGAAGUACUGCAAUUUGCUUUGUUAAACCCUAAUCAGUUAUUAUUAUUGCAGGGGUUAAGCAAGCAAGUUUGGAAUUUGAACUUGCACAAACAAACUCCUGAGCACACAGCAAUGGGCCAUCUACAGUACCAAAGAAGACAUGCAGUCCGGCUGUUCCAUGGCAUCUCCUUUCUCCUCACAGAAUGCGUACUGCUGUGCUUAAUGAUAACACCUUUAUCUGACUGAACAGAAAUAGAUGUUAAUUUUAAAAUGUAUUGAGAGUAAAAGGGAAAGGAAAGGAGAAAAGCACAGCUGCAACCUUCUGUUUGUGGACUUUCCAAAUUUUUAUUCUGAACACACGUCUAACAUCAUUCAUGGAAAUACCAGCUCAGCACUGUUGAACAGCAGUGUGUUUCUUUAUAUUUAUUUUGCCCCCUCAUAUUUUCUUCCAUUAAAGUUUAGCAAUGUACACAAACAAACUGCAGUGAGAAAAAAAAGACAAAAAUGAAACUCAUAAAAAGGCAGGCAAUAGAAGUGACCUUUGCCACUCCUUUGAUAGUAUUUUGAACAUUUCUCUGCUAGUAGCUAAGAUUUUCUUUUACACUUUCAGGCAACCAUAGAUGAUAACAUGAAUAAAAUUGUAUGGUGUCUCA